AGGACGAACGCUGGCGGUGUGCUUCACACAUGCAAGUCGAACGGGGUAGCAAUACCCAGUGGCGGACGGGUGAGUAACGCGUGGGAAUCUGCCUUAAGAUGGGGGAUAGCUAGCCGAAAGGCUAAAUUAAUACCGCAUAUGUAUAUAUUGCGACAGUUUUUAUAUAUGAAAGUAGCAAUACGUCUUAAGAUGAGCCCGCGUCCGAUUAGCUAGUUGGUAGGGUAAAAGCCUACCAAGGCGACGAUCGGUAGGUGGUCCGAGAGGAUGAUCACCCACAAUGGAACUGAGACACGGUCCAUACUCCUACGGGAGGCAGCAGUGGGGAAUUUUACGCAAUGGGCGAAAGCCUGACGUAGCGACACCGUGUGAACGAAGAAGCCUUUUGGGUGUAAGUUCUGUCGGCUGGGAAGAAAAAAAUGACGGUACCAGACAAAGGAAGCAUCGGCUAACUACGUGCCAGCAGCCGC
rnacentral:rRNA from 1 species